rnacentral:misc_RNA from 1 species
UUCAAACGUCCAUGUCCUUUG